rnacentral:snRNA from 2 species
AUACUUGCUUUGGCAGUACAUAUACUAAAAUUGGAAUGAUAUAGAGAAGAUUAGCAUAGCCCCUGCGCAAGGAUGACACGCAAAAUCGUGAAGCGUUCCACAUUUUU